rnacentral:rRNA from 1 species
ACGCCUGUUUAUCAAAAACAUCGCCUCUUGCAAAAAUCAAUGUAUAAAAGGUCCUACCUGCCCAGUGACUCUGUUAAACGGCCGCGGUAUUUUGACCGUGCUAAGGUAGCGCAAUCACUUGUCUUUUAAAUGAAGACCUGUAUGAAUGGUAUAACGAGGGCUUAACUGUCUCCCUUCUCUAGUCAAUGAAAUUGAUCUACCCGUGCAGAAGCGGGUAUAUAAAUACAAGACGAGAAGACCCUUUGGAGCUUAAGACAACCUAAGCCAACCGUGUUAAGAACCUUUAAUAAAAUAAACGAAACAAAACAGCAACUGGCCAACGUCUUCGGUUGGGGCGACCGCGGGGGAAAACAAAGCCCCCAUGUGGACUGGGAAGUUCCUAAAACCAAGAGAUACAUCUCUAAGUCACAGAACAUCUGACCUAAAGAUCCGGCCACAAGCCGAUCAACGGACCAAGUUACCCUAGGGAUAACAGCGCAAUCCCCUUCAAGAGUUCAUAUCGACAAGAGGGUUUACGACCUCGAUGUUGGAUCAGGACAUCCUAAUGGUGCAGCCGCUAUUAAGGGUUUGUUUGUUCAACAAUUAAAGUCCUACGUGAUCUGAGUUCAGACCGGACG